AUUGAACGCUGGCGGCAGGCCUAACACAUGCAAGUCGAGCGAGCGGCGGACGGGUGAGUAAUGUAUGGGGAUCUGCCCGAUAGAGGGGGCUAACUACUGGAAACGGUGGCUAAUACCGCAUAAUCUCGGAUGAACACAUACAGGAUUAGCUAGUAGGUGGGGUAUAGGCUCACAUAGGCGAAGAUCUCUAGCUGGUCUGAGAGGAUGAUCCGCCACACUGGGACUGAGACACGGCCCAGACUCCUACGGGAGGCAGCAGUGGGGAAUAUUGCACAAGGGGCGAAAGCCUUAUGCAGCCAUGCCGCGUGUAUGAAGAAGGCCUUAGGGUUGUAAAGUACUUUCAGCGGGGAUGCGUUACCCGCAGAAGAAGCACCGGCUAACUCCGUGCCAGCCUCCGCGGUAAUUC
rnacentral:rRNA from 1 species